rnacentral:rRNA from 1 species
UACGUAGGGCGCAAGCGUUAUCCGGAAUUAUUGGGCGUAAAGAGCUCGUAGGCGGUUGUCGCGUCUGCCGUGAAAGUCGGGGCUCAACUCCGGAUCUGCGGUGGGUACGGGCAGACUAGAGUGAUGUAGGGGAGACUGGAAUUCCUGGUGUAGCGGUGAAAUGCGCAGAUAUCAGGAGGAACACCGAUGGCGAAGGCAGGUCUCGUGGGCAUUAACUGACGCUGAGGAGCGAAAGCAUGGGGAGCGAACAGG